AGCACUAGCAGUGGCCGCCCUGUAUCUUCAAUAGCUAUAGGUAAUUUUGUUUGUACUUGCUUGAAUAUUUUGCUGCUGCUAUGAAGAGGAACGAAGAAAUUAUCGGAUUGCGGUGAUAUUUCUCAUCUCCGCAAGAUGAGGUUCUAUCUUCUAUGGUUCGUAUUCCCUGAGCAGAUCUUCUCUUCUGUUUAGUUCGAUUAAACAUCUAUUAAAAAAUUCCUUGUAAUUUAAUUGCUGAGUUUUGAUAUUU
rnacentral:misc_RNA from 1 species